GGUAGGUUUUCAUUCUCAAUGUGGGUGACCAAAAAUCUAAAGAGUAGUACAAGGCUAGUCACAGAAAAGCCACAGAUGAUGACACUAGAUGGAAUGGAGGAAAAUUCUCCUUCAGGAUUUCAGUACAAAGCAGGGGAUGGCAGGGAAUGGCGUUCAGGUCAUGACUGAGAUACUGCUGCCCUGCUAACUCAUUUUCUUUGUCUUUUUGCUGACAUUAGAACUGUUCUAAUUAUCCAUUUUGGUUUGGUAUUGCAGAGGACAAAACACGUUUUUAGGAGAGAUGAGGACCUGAAAAGGGAAUUACUAAAGGAAUACUUGGAAGAAUAUCUAAGCUAUUUGGCAGAGAAACUCAGUGUGAGAAGCAUGGAGAGAGAAAAACUCUGUGUCACCUACUAAGUCUGUUCCCAGGACUGUCUUGUGCUGUGUCAGUGGAGUGUGUUAUUUAAUAAAAGGGCUCCACAUGCAAUGUGCAUAUGAAGCAAAGACACACAAACACACACACACACACACACACACAUACACACACACACACACUGGAGUGGCAUACUGAGAAGACUCAGACCUAGCUUUACUGAAAACAGGAAAUGAGUAAAGUAGAAGAAUGGAUUUUCAAACACACCAGGGAUACAGGUCCUAGACUGAGAUGCCAGACUUUAAUAGAACUACAUUUGGUUAAUAUCUGGGCUGACAAGAAUUUGCUUGUAAGAUUUAAAGCAGUGGCCUAAAUAAUUUUCCCUUCCUACAGAAGGACAAAGAGGAACUUUACCAAACAGCAGCCUUCUGGGAGGAGAUAAGAAAUAUUCUAGUAACAUGGGGAUUAUUCAAAUGGGCUUUCUACCCAUUUGGAAAAAUGGAUGGUUCUGAAGGAAACAAAUUUGGGGAGGAGGGCCCUGGAGCACCAUUAGCAUAAAAGGAAGCUCAGCCUUCUUCAGUAACAACAAGGACCUUCAGCCCACCAGUGGUGUCUUCAGGAAAGAAAGCCUGUGAAGAAGCAGCCCCAGCCACAUCAGCAGCUUCCAAAGAGGCUGCAGAAACACGCACCUUGGAAAGGCCAGGUUGAAGAGGAAUAUCAUGUUACCCAUAGCAUCAUUCCUCUCCAGAAAGGAGCCCAAGAUUAUUGCUAUAAGGAUUAUCAGUUCCUAAUAUAAGAAGAACUGGGGUUUCUUACAUUAGGAUGGAUCCAUACCGAUCAAACCCAGACAGCCUUCUGGUCAAGUGCAGAACUGCACACAUAUUUUGGAUAUCAAAUGGUGCUCCCUGAAUCCAUAGCUGUGGUGUGUGCUCCCAAGUAUAAACAAAUUGGGAUUUUCACACUGACACCUACUGGAUUAAAAUAAAUAUCCAAUUGUCUACAGAGUGGGCUCCAUGCCCACAGACAGGACACAGCUCUCUUCUGUUACCUGUUGUGGUGAGAAGAAUUUGGCAGAUGCUCUAGAUCUGGAGUCAGGUUAUUGUGAAGUGCCUGCUUCCCUGCAUGAUCAGUGGAUACUGUUACACACUGACUGCAGUCAUGUCACCAUCUGGAACAUCAAGAUGGCUACACACUUACAAGAAGCUUACAGAACACCAAAUAGAUUGGAUCUGAAAAGAAAAUUCUUCUGCCAAAUAAUAAUAAAAACACUAACUGUGUA